rnacentral:rRNA from 1 species
UACGUAGGGUGCAAGCGUUACUCGGAAUUACUGGGCGUAAAGCGUGCGCAGGCGGUUUUGUAAGUCUGUCGUGAAAUCCCCGGGCUCAACCUGGGAAUGGCGAUGGAGACUGCAAGGCUGGAAUCUGGCAGAGGGGGGUAGAAUUCCACGUGUAGCAGUGAAAUGCGUAGAUAUGUGGAGGAACACCGAUGGCGAAGGCAGCCCCCUGGGCUAAGAUUGACGCUCAUGCACGAAAGCGUGGGGAGCAAACAGG